UGCUAAUGCCGGAUAGGCAGCGAAGAGGCAUCNCUUUGCUGAGAAAGGUGCUACGGCACUACUGACAGAGGAGCCCGCGGCGCAUUAGCUAGUUGGUGGGGUAACGGCUCACCAAGGCGACGAUGCGUAGCCGACCUGAGAGGGUGACCGGCCACACUGGGACUGAGACACGGCCCAGACUCCUACGGGAGGCAGCAGUAGGGAAUCUUCCGCAAUGGGCGCAAGCCUGACGGAGCAACGCCGCGUGAGCGAAGAAGGCCUUCGGGUUGUAAAGCUCAGUCAUUCGGGAAGAGCGGGUAGGAGAGGGAAUGCUCCUGCCGAGACGGUACCGGAAGAGGAAGCCCCGGCUAACUACGUG
rnacentral:rRNA from 1 species